GAUUAGAUACCCCACUAUGCUUAGCCCUAAACCCAGAUAUUUAACACACAAAAAUAUCCGCCAGAGAACUACGAGCAUAACGCUUAAAACUCUAAGGACUUGGCGGUGCCUUAAACCCCCCUAGAGGAGCCUGUUCUAUAAUCGAUAAUCCACGAUCCACCUCACCAUCUCUUGCCAGUACCGCCUAUAUACCGCCGUCACUAGCCUACCCUAUGAAGGAUAUAAAAGUAAGCAAAACAGCCAACAAUAGCUAAUAAGUCAGGUCAAGGUGUAGCUAACUGAGAUGGAAGAAAUGGGCUACAUUUUCUAAACUAGAAAUUAUCUCACGGAAAGAACCAUGAAACAAGUUCUACAAGCAGGAUUUAGCAGUAAACAAGGAUUAGAAUACCCAAUUUAAGCCGGUCCUAAGGCACGCACACACCGCC
rnacentral:rRNA from 1 species